CUUUUACGUUAUUUCUAAGUUAGUUUGAGUGAUAUAUUGGUGAGACGCUUCUUUAUAAAAUUUGCGUUGUUGUAUGCUGUAUACUUUUUACCGUGAUUGCCUUCCUCUUUAAUAAAGCGUCAAAUAGCGUCAAGCCUCUACUCUAUUUCGAAUAACAUGGACAUUGGAAAAUUGCUAUUUUGGAUCAUUCCUAAUUGGGUACUACCUGUGCAGUUAUUAAGACGAAGAACCAAAAUGCCAUACGCCUACAAUGUUUAAAGGAAGUUACUUGAAUUUUUCGUCAAGGUUAUUUCCCUUUGAUUUCAAGUUGGUUUGAAAUACACUGUAAAUGGGAGUAACUCAAGGUCGGACAUGUCAUGGAGACUCGAAUGUUCUUUUCAACUAGAAGUGUCGUGUCUCAAUGAGCCCAUGGUGCACUCCAUUCAUCGAACAUGAAGAAAGCCAUAGAUAUUGCCUUUAAAAGCUGCAGAAACCAUAGACCAGGCUUAACUAAAUCUUCGUCAAGCUGUGCACGUCAACUCUUUCUUCAAUAAUGUGAAAUAUGCCUGCUAGCCAUCUGGAUGGUAAAAUUUCAAAAACUGAUGUAAUCUUGUGUUCUUGAAAGAUUUUGGAUAUCAUGGCAGAACGUGCUUAUCUCCCGUGCAUUAUAUACAAAUUAAACUCGGAGCAUUAAAAUUUGAAUCUUCAAGAUGUACACUUUGAUUUAAAUUAAAUUUAGCUAAAUUGAUAUUAGUCAUUCACCAUAAUGCAAGGAAUUUAAAUGUAUCUUGAAGUAUUUAUAGACGAUAAAUGUAGCUUUUAAUGCCCUUUUGAAUCAAAGAAAUGAAACGGACAAAUUUCUCUGGAUCUACCUUUUAACUUCCUUAAUUAAAAGUGAUAACUUUAUAUAUACUAGCCACACGUUUGUUUCUAGAUCAAAUCUGUUAACAAACCAAUAAUCAAUAUGUAUCCCUUACGAACCCAGUAUUAACAUCUAAUCAGGAUUAUUAUACAUCUUCAGUGCCCGAAUUUUCGAUAGUAUUUACAGAAUACUUUAACUGGCAUUAUCCUGAUGUAUUACUAAUUCAGUCCCAACGCAUUUGAGCCGCUAGUUUGAUACGCUUUAUAUAGAAGUCUAAUGUAAAACUUGCCUCCGGUAGUUCUUCUGGUUAAUAAUUGCCCUGAACCAAAUAAAACGCUGUUUCAAAUUGGCAUAAAAAUUCCAUGUUCUUAAUGUCGGAUCAUUUUCAAACUAGUUUAAUGGUAAGGCGAAUCUUGGAAAUAUUUACGUUCCCAAAACUUAAAGGAACUUCAAUUCUUAACCCUCCGAUGUUUGUUUAGAAACUGCAACUUGUAGAUCUUGCAGUGCUCGUUAGAUUGAGCAGUUCUCAUAAAUCAUUAGAACUUUUAAAAUAUAAUGCGAAUUUUACAAAUUCUUCGUCAUUACGAUAGUUUUCCUCGAACCAGCGAAUGGGAAAAGCGCGUAGUCUUCCAAAACCUAUUGGCACACAAUGAGACGCUAAAAACGUAAUUUUGACAUCUUUAUUGAUAGGGUCUAAUCUCAUUGGCUGUUUCAGCUUAAUCAAAUCAAUCGUUUAAUGGAACAUAAAAUUCAUAGAUAGCGCUUUUCAAGUCGUUUAACUACAUUUUAAACUUGCACUAAAUUACGGAUUGGAGCGAUAGGAAUUCGAACUUGGUUCACAAAUCUUGAUCAUCUGAAAUUCCGAAUAUCGAUAUUUGAAGUUGCACUUGACGGGUUCAUUUGGGAUGAUUGAAACAAUAGAAUAAGAGGGUAAUAGUGGCUAAAGCGUUAAAAUGCUUGUCCCUGUUUACUUUCCGUCUAGGCUGUUAGGGACCGGCGGUCUAAAUGGAAAGUAUCGGUCCCCAGGGAACCAGCAUUUUGACGUGCAACAACGAACAGGAUUAGUAGAAAUAACAAAUAGCGAAUUAAACGAGUUAUUGCAAAAUAAAGAAUGCAUUAAACGAUAUGGAAAUUUCUUUGAAUGAUUGAAUAUAGGUAGAGUGGGCAUACAGGGAUUGAACCUGUUGAGUGUAGCUUGUGUAUCAAUUUUUCAACGGUUACAAAUAGGUGCUGAGGGUAGAUUCUUGUUAACAUGCGACAUUCGAAUGCAGCAGUAGAAAUUGAGUAUUCAAUGAGGACUAGUGUACUACGUUAUAUAUUAAUCUGUACAAUAGAGAUGUACAAAAGAUUUGUUUACCAAGUUCUAGGUGAAUGGUAUUGCAGAUAUCAAAUAUGGCUGACUUCCCGAGAUCCUGUAAAAUUACUCGAUGUAUCGGAAAUGGAAUAUUAAUGAAGAAAAUCCGAAUCGUAAAUUAUCGAUUUAAAUACCCGUUCUAAUAACAAGAACCUCUUAUUUCAGACAGGAAAUUGAUUUCAGAAAAUUGGCUUACGUCUAGUCCAAAUCGGAGGAAAUUCUAGAAUUAAAUGUAAAAUCUAGAUCCCCAAUUUUUGAUUUCGCUAUUUCAUUUUGCACUUAAGGUAAUGUAAAUCUUGAGGAGUGUAUAACGAAGUAUUUAAAUUGGUAGAUUUAAAAUUUAUCACCGAAACAGAUAUUAAAAUCAUUUGCAAGACGUUUUACUGCAUAAACCGAACAGUGGAAUGUGGAGGAAGUUGUUUAAUUCAAGUAAAUCCUAGACUAAAAUUACGGCUAUAACUAAUGGAUAACCUGUGUAACCUCACUCUACCUCUACUUACACUUGUUUAGUAUUGCCUCCCAAUAAUUUUCCUUGUGAAAUUAAAUUCAAAUUCCAAAGCUUAAUGUAUUGAGAAAUUGCACUCAUUUUUGAGUUUCUGCAGCGUCUCGAUUGUCUGUUUCAUUCGAUUCUAAAUUUCUUAAUUGUGGGUUAAUUUGUUACGGAAAAUUCAACCUUUUUUGUUGACAUGCAAGUUUAAAACGACCCAAUUUAUUGUUUGACCCAUUGUAAUUGCAUUGUAUUUUUACCUUCAAAUUUUCGACUUAUUUUAAAAUUUCAACUACCUGCUUGCAUGUCGAUUCUCUAUACUUUUCAGAGAAAUUUAAUGUAUAUCGGAUGAUUCAACUUUUAUUAAAUUAGUUCUUAGUUCCCUUGUCAAUAUAUAUUUUCUACUCAAUGGUUUAGUUGUAUACUUAACAUUUAUUUGAAAUAUUUGUACAUUUUUACAUUUUUAGUGACGCCUUGAAACUACUGAGUCGUGCUUUAAAGGACGACUUAAUUGUAUAUUUUCUUAAUGCUAUACUGGAUUACUCGAUGUUUUGAAUUGCUAAGGAUGACAGUUGAGGUUAUUUCUAUCAUAUUAUCUCUGUACUUUGAUAACGUAUUAAAAUUAGUGUACAUCUUAAGGCUGGAUGGUGUAUGUGUUGAAAUGAUUUUGUCAAACAUUCUUAAGUUAGACGUAGGUAGUUUAAUUUUUAAAUUAGUUAAAUACUUAAUUAAAAAAUAGCUUAAAGUCUAUUAAUAGAAGCAAAAUUAUCCAUAUCUAAACUUCAAUUUUUGUUUACAAGACUUGACCCUUUUAUCUCGCUUGUAUCGAUUUUCAUGUUAAUUCCAUGUAUAAUGAAUUGGCUUUCUUAAAUACGAUUUACUUCGUUUAUUUGUAAAUACGUUCGUAGAGUUGAAGCCCUACUAAUGCUUUAUACGUUAUUUUCGCGCAAAGGGAAUCUUAAAUUCUAAAGCGAGAUAGGUACUUAGCAGAGACAAACUCCUAUCGGAAAUUCUGGAGAUACUUAAAAAUUCAAUUGUAAAUUUAGACGCAAGCAUUUUUAUAGCACGAAAUGUAAACCUAGGAUUUCAUUUUAAAUCGGUGGUCCAAAGUAAGUUUGUGGUCGCUUGCAAUCGAUUACUUUGAAUGGGCUCCGGUGUUCACCAUUUAAUGACGCAUUUAAAGUGUUAAUGGAUUUUAAAGGAUUUAAAAUAUCUUGGUCACACUAAAACUCGUUAUUGCAUUCAUCAUUCAAAACGCCCUUGAUUUGCUUAACCCAGCCUAGAAAUCAAGCUUACUGAAACUUACCACAUGCACUCGGAUAUAGUAGUAUUGGUAUUAAUUUUGGCAAAUAAGUAAGUCGAAUGCUUUAACUACAAAGUAAUAGGAAUAUAGUAGUCUUCGCCAGCGAAUGUUUAAAACCUGAAAUUUAAUGUAUUCAAUAGUAAUUCUUGCUAAUAAAUUAAUCGUCCCUUCCAUAUCCCUGUUUUAUGGCAAACGAAUCCAAUCUUCAACUAAAAUGAAUAAACCAGACAAGUCCGUUAUUGAUAUUUAGUAGAUCCGAUUAUAGCAUGUAGAUAAAAAGCAUUGGGAUAUUUUCGCUAAAAAUUGUUAAACUGCGUCAUUCUGUAGUGCACGUCUGAUCUUAAUUAUAAACCUAUUGGGUUCUGUAAGAGUAGCGUAGCAUUCCGAGUUUAGUUGAAAGUGGGCCGUAGCUUCGCCGGCAAGCCAACAGACCACUUUCUGCUCCUAAAAAUCGAAACAUUUUGAUCGUGAUGUCUGGCCAACAUCUGAUUAAAAGGUUUCAAUCACUUACUAGCAUUUUUCUGAAGAAGCUUAUAGCUAUUUAACUAAAUUUACCUCUCAAAAUAUUUUAGGUACUCGAUGCAUCUUAAUCUCUAAUUUUUGAUUCGUAUCACUUUUAACGUUAAUUUUGAAUAAAAUGAAAUACUUAAAGACCAUAACUUUAGCGGAUGCUUAUGUGGUAUAAUUUGUAUUGAUUGCGAUUGUUUAUCUUUAGUAGCGGAACUUGUCUGGUGACUUUCUUAGAUUCUGUCUUUAAAACUGCUCUUUCCAACUAUAAAUUUAUCAUAAAUUUAGCUCUUAUAGUAGUUUGCAUUCAGUAAUCUGUUAAAAUGUACCUUGAGUCUGAUAAAACGAUUUCAAUUGCUACAUCCAGUAUGCUUUUGUAGUUCUAUCCCAAAUCUUCCCAAAUUAGUUAUUCACCUUAAUACCGAUCUAAAAAUUAACUUGUAGGGUCCCUUUAACGCAUUUCAAUUGCAGUAAUAAACUUCUAUUGCCGAGCAUAAAGAACUUAAUCUUUAACCCCACUUGCAUUGUAUUAAUCAUUAAUUCAAAUUCUUAAUAUAGAAUUCACAAUAUAGAAGUAUUGACUAAAAAUUUAAAUUGUACAAUAGUUGGAUACCGGAUAUAAACUUUGCUUUUCAAAAAUAGUUCAACGACGUUAGUAAAAGUGGGCAAGUGAAUUGGUAUUAGCGCGGUUAAAGAAAGGUGAGAGGGGCAAGUUUUUAAACAUCUUGCACGCCAAGCAAAACUAUGGAAUUUCGUAUACCUAAAAUAAGCAUUUCUAUAAGUGCUCCAUUCCUUGCAAUAAAAAUUGAAUAGAAAUUUUAGACUGAUUUCCGUACCUUUACUGUCAAACUCGAGCAUUAAUAUUCAUCACAUUUUCUUCCAAAUGUUUGUAGUAAAUUAAAGGUAAUUUCAAGUUCGUUUUAGAGUUCAGGAUUUUAAUUGUUUCGGGAUUUGCCGGUUUAAGAUUUCGAAGAAAGAUUGUCAGUGGCUGUGCUAGCCAGUUAACUGACAGUCUGUGAAAUUCCUGAAGGCAUCUUUGAAUGCUAUGCCUGAUCACCAUCGCAGUCAAGAUGACGUGGAAUUUAAAAUCCUGCGAUAAAUAGGCAGCUUUGAUUCGGGAAAAACGCGAUGCCAACUCGCAAUGGACGAAUACCUUGAAAAAGUACAAUCUAACUGCAUUUUAAUUAACGACAUCGGUUGAUUUAUAGCUAACUAAUUUUAUUGAUAACUUAAGCUUUUCACGACAAAUUCCAUAGAUUUUGCUGGAGUCUUGACUGAAAUUUCAGAUUUUAUAUAACACUGUUAAAUAUUCAUGCAUUAAGUAUUGUGAAUUGCCAGUUAAACCUCUCCAGUUACAGCCUCUCUUUAAAACUUAAAUUAAAAAUUUCGUUUUAUAAUUCCAAUUAGUCUAAUAGGAAAGGUUGAAAUAAGAUAGGAAAAUGACUUGAAAGUAAAAUGGAUAAACCUCUGGUCUAGAUGUAGAACUACGGUAUCGUAUGUUUCGGUUGAAAAUCGUGCCAGGAUUAGUCAACCAGUAGUUUAUAUCUUGCACGUAUUGCCUACAGGUGUUCAUCUGAAUCCCACAAACAUUGAAGUCUUUCCUUUUCAUUGAAGGCUUCCAAAGUGUUAGGUUUUAGAUGUUAUUUUCGCGGGGGAAGGUCGGUUUCAAGUUGCGUCCAUGAAAACUUAUUUAAAGCGAACUUUUUAUCGUCAAACGGGUUCUUUUGGAAGGAAACUAAGCUUUCGGUAUUUAUAAUCCGAUAUGGUCUUGAACGGCAAAUGAAUGAUUCAGCAAAUGGUAGUUAAGAAUUCAUUGGUAAAUUCUAAGAAUUUUGAGGAAUCCACUUAUCCUAAAUUGUAUUGACAAUUCUUAAUAAUAACUUCCUACUUAAUUUCGCAAAAAUUGUCGGUGCUUCUAAAAAUAUUUUAAUUUUGUCCAUCUUUCGCAAUAGUAGAAUCUGCCCGAGAAACUUCAGGAUUGAUAAGGAAUUUUUUUUAUAAAAUACAUCAUCCAGCCUUUCUAGUUAAUUAAUUUUUCAGAAAUAGAAUUUAGAAUUUUUAAGGCUUUCGGCCUUCUAUUUUCUUUAACGUUAAGAUUCAGGUUAUGUAAAAUGUUUUAAUACUAUUGUUAAACUAAAGUUCACGAAUAUUCUCCUGUAUAUAUGUACAGACCUUAAAGACCUAGAAAAAUGGCAACUAUAAUUCUAAAGUGACAAUGUUGUCUUUUGCCUCCUGCCUGCUCGACUUUGCUAUUGUUUGCUGAGUAAUUUAUUUAAAUGUAUAUAUUGUCCAAUAAUAUUUUUAGCAAUUUAUGGAAUAAAUUGCUUUAAUGAAAUGUAGCUCUAAUGUAUUGGCUUCUCCAAUAAGAAUUUAUUAAAUUUGGAUUUGAAAAACUAAACAAUUCAAGAUGGCAACUCAUUCAAUGUUCAUAUAAAAAUUUGAACGAGCAUCUCUUGUAUAGAUUUGAAGUCUUCACUUAAAUAAUUUUCCUAGAUAAAAGUUAUCCAAGGAAUCUCUCCGAAACCAUUCUCGAAGAAUGGCAGUAAAGUUUAUUUGAGAUUAAAUGCUAUAUUUGAAACUUCGCUUCAAUGAGUUUGGAACGAUAGUAAGUUUGUAGACGGUUAUAAAAUGUGAGUGAUAAAAUUUAAGUGAUGUACAAACCUAUAUCAAUAGCCAGCACGAUCCUAUUAACAUCCAUGUAUGAAUUUCGCUUCAUAUCGCUUAUGUUCACUUAAUGGUAUGUGCUUUGUAUACUGCAAUAAUUAAGAUGCUAACUUUCAUACAAAUUGACAUAUAUCUACUACUGGAAAAUGUGGAGGUAAAUACUCGAAUUUAAAAAUUUACUGCUGUUAUCUGAUACAAGAGGUAAUAAUGUUGUAAAUUUGUAGAUUGCUAAAAAACUACUUGCUUGACCAUUUGAAAUUAUUUUGAAUAAAAUAUUGAAAUAGAAUCUUCUAAUGGCUAUGCUGUCUUGUGUACAGCUGUUCAAAUUCCUGUGACGGGAGCAUGCCUCAUGUAAUCCAUUAGCUGCCAGUGAAUCUUGUUAUAACUUGCUCAAUGUAGUUUUCUUAAGCUUUAGAACUGGAUUUGAUGUAAUU